GUUUUAGCUUUCAGCAGUGAGAGCUCUUUAUGGCUCAGAAGCUUUACUAAGGAUAUUUUAUAUCUGUCUAUAGACAUCUAGAUAGAUACCUAGAUAUACACAUAUAUAGUCUAUAUGUUAUUUUCUUUAAACCCAAGCAAGGCUUAUGUGAAACAUUGGGAUUCUUUUUACUUGAAUUAAAAAAGAAAAAAAAAGUAACAUGCAGUCACUAUAUGUGGUGAGCCAAGACUAACUGAUGUUAAAAGGUAUCGACAACAACUUGAAAAAGAGCCUUCUUCAUCUCUCCUCCUCUCAUUAUGCAACCCAGUCUACCUGAAACUUGCAGCAGUCCUUCUGCCUCUGUUUCCUGAGUUUUGGGAUAACAGGUGUGCACUACCACACCCUGCAAAGUAAGAACUCUUAAGGACAUGUCCAUUUGCUUCUAUUGGUGUUGCAAGGUGUGACACAUGUAUAGCUUUUCUUUGGUGUUCUUUUGAAACACAGUUGCACAUUUAUAUGUUUUGCUGCAUGCACCGCUCAGAAGACUGCAGAGUAGUCUCUUUCUUUAAGUAUAUAUUUUCCCUUGUAUUGAUACUUUCUAGAUCAGGUGUAUAUGCCAGAGGAGAUUAUGACUCUGGUGUCUCUGAGAGAUCUAAUCUUGUGUUCCGUGAAGUCAACUAUUUAUCAGAUCAUGAAACCAAAUUCUAGAAUAUACAUUUUAUCUAAUUAUGAAUUUUGGAUCAAAGAGACAAUGUAAAUAGUUUACUUUUGCCCUUAGAAUAACAUCACUUUGAGGCAGGCCACACAGACAAGACACAGUGAGGGUCUUACCUUGUGUAGCACUAGCUUUCUUUUGUUCUUGAUUUGCCCUGGUGUGAGAAUUUGCCUUACGCAUCCCCUAGUGCAUUUGUGUGCACAUGAGCACUUUCUGCUUGCUUCUUGAAGGUGGGAUUGCUCGCUUCCCUUUUUGUGAUCUGGUUGCUUACCCCUUAUGGUAAGCAUGGUGAUACUGUCUGGGCAAAUAACACCGGAAGGCAGAAAGGCCUUGCUAACAGAAAGGGGAAGGGAAAAGGAAGCACUUGGUAGUUUGUGAGGCGUAAGCUGCUUUGAUAACGAUUCCAGAGCCCUACCAGGGCAGUGAUGAGAAACUGGUAAAUAACUAUGUUACUUCAUGGGUUCUAGUGAGAAGGAACAGUUUAGCCCCUUAGUAUCUUAUUCCUUCUAUCCCUUCCUUCUGUUUAGUUAAAGUAGGAAUGACUCCUGUGUAGUGCUUAGCAGUUUGAGAAGUUUGCAAAGUAAACAAACAUGUCCUCUGCCCAGGGUUCAGGAACCAGAUAUAGUAAGGUUGAGUUAUUUGGCUGGUAUAUUACAAGAACUUUCUUGCUUCUAGUAACAGAAGCUCAAGUCAACAUGAUUGAAGCAAAAGAAAUUCUUUGGCUUAUGUAGCUAGCCAGUUUGAGGAUGUGGCGGGUCUCAGGUGUGGAUGAAAUGUGCAGUCUUCUCUCCUUGGCAUCAUUGGCAGUGCACAGACUAAGCUUGUUGGCUCUAGCAGUUGUCGCUUUGUACUUGUUUUUUUUUUUGUUUGUUUGUUUGUUUGUUUUUGUUUUUGUUUUUGUUUUCUUCCCCACCAACAUUUCCUAUCCCUAGAAGUGCCAGCCUGAGGCAUGGAUAGGAUUUUCAGGUCCAUUCUUGAGCCAAACUUUGUUCACUGUGGUCUAGGGACCAUAGUCUCUUUUAUCAGCUAUGCUCAGCCAUGUGCCACCCCUGAAGCAGGGCUUGGGUGUUUACUGUUACAUUGAUUGUUAUCCUGGGAGCAACUUGGGAGAAUGCCUUAGCUUUGGAGUUUUCUCAUAGCUGGAAACAAUGUUGUGGAGAAGUAGACUUGAUAGUGCCAUUUGUAGAUUUUUUUCUGUGUUCCCAACAUCAUAUUAGACUCCUGACUUCUGAGCGGGAAGAUUUUCUUUCAUUUACCCUUCCCAGCCGUGUUUCUCCCCUCUGAUCACAUUCCUUUCGGUUUCUUGGUGAAAAUUUGUUUUUCAUCUAAUCUCUGUCUUUUCUGCUUAUGUUCUGCUAUGAAGUGAGUUGGAGAGCACCCCCCCCCCUUGGGUUGAAGCAUAACUACCAUUCUCUUCUUUCAAAGACAGUCCUACUGCAGAGCUUAAUAUAUCAGAUUAACAAGAACUCCAAAUUUCCUAGUGUAGCUAAGAAGCCUGUCUCUAAAGAGCAGAGUGGGAGUAUACUGUCUCAGGUUCAGUUGAGUGUCUCUGGAAGCACGAGAAGCCUGGACAGUGGAAUGUGGGUUUAGAGACUUUCUAUACACACUCCUGCGAGGGCUGUGGGAAUGGAGGCAGGAGGGAAGUCAAAUGCUCUGGUUUUCAUUCUGUCACCAGAACU
rnacentral:lncRNA from 1 species